rnacentral:rRNA from 1 species
UACGUAGGGUGCGAGCGUUGUCCGGAAUUACUGGGCGUAAAGAGCUCGUAGGUGGUUUGUCGCGUUUGUUCGUGAAAACCUGAGGCUUAACCUUGGGCGUGCGGGCGAUACGGGCAGACUGGAGUACUGCAGGGGAGACUGGAAUUCCUGGUGUAGCGGUGGAAUGCGCAGAUAUCAGGAAGAACACCCGUGGCGAAGGCGGCUCUCUGGGACGGUACUGACGCUGAGGAGCGAAAGCGUGGGGAGCGAACAGG